UACGAAGGGGGCUAGCGUUGUUCGGAUUUACUGGGCGUAAAGCGCGUGUAGGCGGUGCGCUAAGUUGGCGGUGAAAUCCCGAGGCACAACCUCGGAACUGCCUUCAAAACUUGCGACCUGGACUCAAGUAGAGGCAAGUGGAAUUGCGAGUGUAGAGGUGAAAUUCGUAGAUAUUCGCAGGAACACCAGUAGCGAAGGCGACUUGCUGGAUUUGUAGUGACGCUGGGACGCUUAAGCGUGGGGAGCAAACAGG
rnacentral:rRNA from 1 species